CCUGAUUCCUCACUAGAAGCUGUGCUGGUGCCUCUCGUUUCUCAGUGUCACUCCUGUUUAGGCUUGUAGCUGUCAGGGAACCUCACAGGUGGAAAGUUACAGACAUUCCGGGGCCUGCCAUAAAGCACACCCACUCUCCCCACAGGGAGAUGAGGAAUUUCCCGGCUACAGGGUCCGGAUCAGUGUGUACGGAACAGGAUAGGUGGGUUGAGAAAAAUUUGCUUUCAUAUGUCUCUGGAAAUCUGGAAAGGACAGGGUUCUUGAAGACACAACUAAAUGAAAAUGGAUGAAAUCAGAAUGGAGCCUAAUCCGAGGUGACUGCUGUCUUUGUGAGAACAGGGAAGGAACACACAGGAAGGCUCCAGGGGUGCGUGUGAGGACAGAGCAAGGAGGUGGCCUGUCUGCCAGCCAAGGAAAAGAAACCAGCCCUGCUGACAACCGGCCCUCAGACUGCCAGCCCAGUGGGAAAACUCAUUCUGUUAUCUAAGCCACUCUGUCUGCAACGAUUGGUUAUGGCGGCCCUAAAAAAUGAGUACAUUUUCCGUCUUUGUACUGUAAAGUUGUUGUUGUUUAAUAGAUUGUCUCUUUUCUUGGGUUUAAGGAAUAUCUUCAAAAAGAGCUUGUUUUAUUGAUGAACUUGGUGUAUUAGGAACCAUCUCGGGAGGCUCUUGGCAAACACAGAAGGGGAUGAACGAGAGCACAUGCCUACCCGCUGUACAGAUCUCGCAACUGCAGAGAUAAUUGGAGAAGAUAGAUCUAUCUGCAAAGACACAAAAGGCAGAUCUCUGGAAUGGACAAGGAAGGUAUCUUCGAUCGAAGCUGUGGGAGGAGCUUUGGACUUGGCUAAGAGCCAGAGCCCUGUAGAGGGAGCGCCAGAGAGCCACUGCGAAGACCCCAGGGGACCAGGAUGCAGCUAAGUCACCUGGAUGCGGAGAAGCUUCUGGGUCCCCACUCUACCUCGCAUCUCUUCUAGAAGGUGCCAGCUGGUGGCUAUGCUUGCACUGGAGCCUUUGCAUAGCCUACGUGGCUGUCAGUGAGGCCACAGGGCCAUUGCAGGCAAUAGUCCAGCUGCACCCCAAGAGAUAGCCUAGAACCAAAGCAUUUCCCACAGCAUUCCUAGAAACUACUUAUGCGUGUCACUCAGAAAACCCAAAUCCUAUCAUUUCUUAGAUGUCAGCUGUGCAGAUACGUCUCUCAACGUUAGAUUGUCUGUUGGAAAAUAUAACUGGAUACCAGAAGUGUCAGAAACCUGGUUCAUACCACUCUUCACAAGGGGAGGCCUGCAAAAACACAGGCAGGAAGGAAUCACCCACUGCUGCAGCCAUGGGCCUGUCAGGCUCGCUCUUAAUUCCUGCCCAGGGCUUGCUCUCUAAAGCCGUGCUGGCUCUGCCUCCAUUUCCCACUUCAUCCAGAGCAAACAUGGCUUCCCGUGCUUGUCCUGGUACCACGAUGCCAUAGCGUCCCCUCAGCCCACUUCCAGAUAAGGGGGCCAUCUGACAAAGAAAGGUCAGGCCGGCUUUGCAUCUAGACUAGCAAGGCUCUUGUUUGUAUGUUGAGGGCACGAAUCUGUAAGUCCUGAGUUUAUUUUGUCCCCAUCUGUGUUGAUUUUUAAAUGGCCUCAUAGGCUCACAGGGAGUGAGUGGCACUAUUACAAGGUGUGGCCUUGUUGCAGGAAGUGGUCACUGGAAUGAGGGUUAGGGAGGGGGCGCUUUGAGGUUUCAGGAGCUCAAGCCAGGCCUGGGAUCACUCUUUCUUUCUCCUUCCUGCCAAUCCAGAUGUAGAAGUCUCGGCUACUUCCCAGUACUGUGUCUGCCUGCACGCUGCCAUGUUUCCUGCUAUGAUGACAGUGGACUAAACCAACUCCAA
rnacentral:lncRNA from 1 species